GAUGAACGCUGGCGGCGUGCCUAAUACAUGCAAGUCGAGCGAACAGACGAGGAGCUUGCUCCUCUGACGUUAGCGGCGGACGGGUGAGUAACACGUGGAUAACCUACCUAUAAGACUGGGAUAACUUCGGGAAACCGGAGCUAAUACCGGAUAACAUGUUGAACCGCAUGGUUCAACAGUGAAAGACGGUCUUGCUGUCACUUAUCGAUGGAUCCGCGCCGCAUUAGCUAGUUGGUAAGGUAACGGCUUACCAAGGCAACGAUGCGUAGCCGACCUGAGAGGGUGAGAGGCCACACUGGAGCUGAGACACGGUCCAGACGCCCACGGGAGGCAGCAGUAGGGAAUCUGCCGCAAUGGGCGAAAGCCUGACGGAGCAACGCCGCGUGAGUGAAGAAGGUCUUCGGAUCGUAAAACUCUGUUAUGAGGGAAGAACAAAUGUGUAAGUAACUAUGCACGUCUUGACGGUACCUAAUAAGAAAGCCACGGCUAACUACGUG
rnacentral:rRNA from 1 species